UUUUUCUUUUUUUUCGUCCUCUCAUGAUUUGUUUUCUCAUCAGGCCCGUUUGCGUUUUCGCUCACUUUGGCUCCGCGCCAGUCAAUUUUUUUUUCAUUUCGUUCCUCUGUCCCGUCCCCUCCCUCGUCGAGAUAGAGAGAGAUCCAUGGCGACUUGGAGCUUCCCUGUCCGCUCGAUUCAGUAGGAUGAUGGUCAGGCGUCUGGCGCUCUCCCUUCCGCUGCCUCGCCCCCUCUUGCUCCUUCCUCUUUUCCCCCGCCGGAGGUCUGCAACAUCUCUCAUCUCCCGCCGCAUCGCCGGCCCCAUUUUUCUUUGCCCGACGUUUCUGAUUUGGUUUUGUCACUCAGAUCUGCUGCUUAUCUCCUUUUGGAUCUCACAUGUGGUAAUAUCCCGCGGCUAUUUUCAUGCAGAUGUGUUGUUGCGUUUGUUAGUGAUAUUGAAUCUCGUCUGUCUUGUAUAUGUAAUGUUAGGAUUUGCCUUGUACGCGUAUGUUUUAUGUGAUCUGUUUCGGUUAGUAGUUGGAAACUUGGAAUUCGGGUGGUUGUCAUGUGCAGAUGCUAAUUUCGUACAUACUGGAUUAGUAUCCUGGUCGCCUUGGAUUCUCUAGUGUUUUUGUUUGUGGCUGUAGGUUAUAUGCCCCCUGGGUCGUUUGUUGAUGUAGGUCUGUAUGUAGUGUUCUUUGUGAUUUUGCUUGUAUAGCUAGUCAACAAGCUUAGGUUAUCAUAUGUAGCGCCUUUUGCUUGCAGAUUUCAUCUCUGUUCUUUGUGUUCCUGUGAGAUAGAAUGUCCUUUUCAUUUCAGCUAUGUAAAUAUUUGAUUGCUCUACUAGAAAUCCCUGUUUUUAGUGGAUUUACAGUGUGUUUUCUUAGUGUUUUACACUAUAAUUAUAAGUGGAUUUACAGUGUGUUUUCUUAGUGUUUUACAUUGUAAUUAUCAGUGGAUUUACACUGUAAUUUUAAGUGGAUUUACACUAUGUUUUUAGUGAUUUUACACUAUAAUUCUUAGUGGAUAUACACUGUAUUUUUAGUGGAUAUAUAUUGUGAUUUGCAGUGGAUUUACACUGUAAUUCUUAGUGGAUUUACUAUGUAGAUUUUAGUUGAUCUUUCAUUGUAAUCAUAUAAUAAUUACACUGUAUCUCUUGAUUUUUAUAGUUUAAAUCUUAGUGAAGUUACACUGUAAUCCCUAGUGUUUUUGUAGUGACCGUUAGUUAUUCUUGGAUUUACCUUCUAUUUGUAUUAUAACUCUUGAAUUUUACAGUUUAAUUUUUAGUGUAUUUACACUGUAAUCCUUAGUGUAUUUUGGCUAGGGUCUAUUAGUGGGGUUUUACCCUUGUAACUUGCAUUUGACCAGGGACUAUUAUGCGGAUUAUUAUUGUAUUAUCUUUAGUUUAUUUUACAUGAUUUACAGUGUAACUCUCAGUGGGCUUAGACUGUAAUUUUUCAAUGGAUUCUACCCUUAGUGAAUUUGACUAGUGACUGUUAGUUGGUUUUUACCCUUGUACUCUGCAGUUGAGUAGGGCCUAUUAUGUGGAUUUUUAGCACCGAGCAUUUGUCAGGUAGCCAAUCUCUGUGUACUUUGUAAUAUACUAUCAUGCAUUUGGUUGUUUCUUUAUUUUGUUUUUUACCCUGAUGUCAUUUUGGUUUUGCUGUGUAGGUUGCAAGUCUGUUUCUCUUGACUCUACGAACAAACCAACAAAUGAGUCAUCGGUUAGUAAAUCUCUUGGUAAUGUUUUGUCAAAUGAGGGCACAAAGGAUGGUCCAAAUUUGGUUUCUUUUGUGUGCCAUGUAGUAUCAGUGCUCAGUUUUUUUUUAGUUUCAGCGUGAUCUUCAUAGUAACUACAUUUAAAAGAUCAUAGUAAUUAUAAGUUGAAGUGAUUGUAAUUAGCCGUUUUAUACAGUUCCAAAGGUUCUAAUAUUCAAUCAUAGUUUCAUUUUGGUUUCUCAGGAGGAACAAAUUGGUUUCUCUCUAGUGUAUAGUUUGUGUGUCCAAAGAUUAUAAGUGUAAUUUUACGAGCUUUUACAGUGUAUUUUCUUAGUGUAAUUUAGUUUAUUCCCCGUUUCAUUUCUGGAUUUUGCUCUGUAAAUCCUAGCUGUGUUUUUAGUUUUUUCUACUGUAUUUACAGUCUAAAUCUACUAUAAAAUGUCACUGGGUUUCAGCUGUAAUUGUUGCAUUUACAGUGUAAUUCUAGUGUAAAUUGAACUAUGAAUCUACUGCAAUUACUGUGAAACUCACUGUCAUUUGCUCUAAAACACUAGUGUAUUCUACACUGUAGUUCUACUAUAUACACUGUAUUUACACUAUAGUUCCAGUGAUCUAGCACUGGAAUUACAGUUUGCUUACACUGUAAUUCUAGUGGUCUAGCAAUGAAAUUCAGACUGUAAUUACAAAGGAAUUUUCUCCCUGGUCCACUACUGUAAUCUCUGUUGCUUACCGCUGAAAUUUUUGUUCUGCCACUGUAAAUUCCUAAAGAAUUUCAUAUCUUCCUGAAUAUGUUCCCCCUAAUCCUUUUUUUCUUUUGACCAUGUGUUGUAACUGUAGCUAUGAAUUCAGAAACUUGUAAGUAGUUUCUCUGUUCCUGUCUUCCUGGACUACUUUUGUCCUAGUAUUCUUUCUGGUUCUGAUAUUAAUUUUGUGACACGUAAGAACAGUUACAGAGCUCAAUAUUUUGUCCCUGCGGCAAGUAAGUGAGGAUUUGGAUUGUGUUAUAUUUUCUUUUAGUAUUAGUAAGUUUUUUUUUCAUGAUUAUGCUGUCUAUAAUCUUGGAUUUGGUUUGUGAAUCUGAUGUGUUUCUUCAGCUAUGUAAUUAUCAACCCACAUUUUUUUUUCAGAUGUACACAAUCAUGAGAGAUAUCUGUUUUACUCAUGCUAGAUGUGUGGUGAAUGCAAACGAAAUGAGUGUUUACCUGUGAAUCCUUUGCUUCUCCAGCCGUGAUCUUCUUGAAGCUUGUGUCUCAGAACAUGGAGGAAACGCCACCACUUUGUUGUUUUUUUGUCCGGGUUAGAGAAGGAGGAGGAUGGACCCGUUAAGUUUUUCUUUGAGCUGUACGGUUUGUUUAAAUGAAUGAGACAGAAAAAGAGACAUACAAGGGACAAGGGACAGAGGACAAUUGUCACAUUCUAUUGGCUGAAAUAUCCGGCUGAAACCCAAUUGAUUUUCAGCCGGAUGUUAAUUAGACAGUCCCAAAAAAUAAGAAGCAGGAGGAGUGCGCUGUUUCGGUGUCCGGACUCAUCUUCAUCCGUUUAAUAUAAAAUCAAAAUAAAUAAUAAG
rnacentral:lncRNA from 1 species